rnacentral:rRNA from 1 species
AGUUGGGAAUCUUGGACAAUGGGGGAAACCCUGAUCCAGCCAUGCCGCGUGAGUGAUGAAGGCCUUCGGGUUGUAAAACUCUUUCGACGGGGACGAUAAUGACGGUACCCGUAGAAGAAGCUCCGGCUAACUUCGUGCCAGCAGCCGCGGUAAUACGAAGGGGGCUAGCGUUGUUCGGAAUUACUGGGCGUAAAGCGCGCGCAGGCGGUCUUCCAAGUCAGUGGUGAAAGCCUGGAGCUCAACUCCAGAACUGCCAUUGAAACUGUUAGACUUGAGUACGAGAGAGGUGAGUGGAAUUCCCAGUGUAGAGGUGAAAUUCGUAGAUAUUGGGAAGAACACCAGUGGCGAAGGCGGCUCACUGGCUCGUAACUGACGCUCAGGCGCGACAGCGUGGGGAUCAAA